CGGAGUGAUGUUUCCAUCUGUUCAUUGGAACACUGCAUACUGAUGUUUAUUUUUAUGCCUGAC
rnacentral:snoRNA from 1 species